AAAUAAAUAUAAAUAUAUAUAUAUAAAUAUAUAUAUAUAUUUCAUUAUCAAAGUUGACCAUUUAAGGGAAAACAAUAUUUUGGCCUUCCAUCUGCCAUCUCAUCCCCAACCUUAUGCUGGCCAAUAAUAAUUGCUUUUAAAGCUCCUUCUCCCACAACACCUCUAAAAAAUGUUAAAUUGCAGCAUCUUUAAACUCCAACUGAACCAAACAUUCCUAUUUUAGUGUGAUGAUUUGUCUAAAUUCUGAUGUGUAGCACAGUGCAAAUGAUAUAAUUUAAAUAGAAUUUUAAUGAGGGGCAAAAAGAAAGACAAUUUAUACUUUCUCGUAUUUCUCUAAAUAUAUUAACUGUCUCAAGGAACAGCUUUGUGAGCCAAGUCAUAUGUAUCAUUGUAAACUGGUGGUAUAGAAAAACAUGGAAACAAAUAUUUCUUUAUAUUGUGUGUAAUUGGGACAAAAAUAAAUGGCCUACAGACUGAAGGGCAUAACUUAGUUACCCUUUCUGGCUUUCAAAUAACCAUUUAUCAUAGGAUUUCUGCUCGCAACUGAACCUGCUGUAUUCUUUCAUUGGGACUUAGCAAGUAAACUGAAUCAAGCUCUCAUUCUAAAUACUAUUCACCACUUUGAGAGUCUAGCCUCAGUGUAAAUGAGGCUAAUGGGAUAAGAUCUAAGUAUUUUUGCUCUUUUUUCUACAAAAUCUAUAAACACCCCAAAACUAAGCCUGGAUUUUGGGUAUGCAGACCGGCAUGCUAAAUGAGUAUUUGUUUACUAUAAAAUUUUCAUUUUCUCCUUCUUCACAAUUUUCCUCCUAUCAAGAUUUCUUUGUCUUAUAGGUUCUAUUUAUAAAUAGUGUUAUGACAUUCAUAUACUCUCAUAUAUUUUAAUCUCUUAGAAUGAUUUCCAUAUUAGUAUCCAGACUGUAUACUGUAGGGAUACAUUUACAGUGUUUGAAACAUAUUGCAUUUUGUUACAGUCAUUCAAAAUACUGCCUUAAGCAUCAUUGCCUCCAUCAGCGCCUCUGCCUAUGCCAAAUAUCUGGAAAGAUCUAUUAACAGAUGCCUGUUUACUCUAAAGUGAUAUUAACAUUCCUUAUCAGACUGAAUUAAUUGCUUGAGUAUAGUAGAAGAGUGACUUGCAUAGAAGAUGUGUGUGCCUCCAGGAACAGCAAGCCUUAUCAGCUGGUUACAUAUAAGCCUUUUCCGCAUUAAACUUGUGUGUCCCAUAUCACAGGCAGAGUCUAGUGCUCAAUACACACAAAAAAAUUUAUUAGAUACAUGUCAAUUUUCAUCUGUUUAGUGAAAAUACUUUUAAUAACUGGUUAAUCCAAUCCACCUUUGUCUAGAUGGAUUUCUAAGAGUACAGAGUUUUUGUUUGUUUGUUUUUAACCACUAUGUUAGUGGGACACAAUCUUCAUAGUAAGUAAUCUGUGCAAUAGCCCCGAGAAGCCAGUAAUAUAGUAAUAAAAAUAAUUACCAUUAUCACCAUCAUUAUAGCAAAUUAUAGUGCAUAUAAUAUUGCAAUAGGUUUUUGAUAGAAUAUUUUCUUGAAGUCAGUAAAAACCCUGUGAGGUAGGGAGUAUUUUUCUUAUACAGAAGCUUUUUGAUAAUUGUUAAUUUCUUACAUCUUCAUAUAGAUUAUUUCCCAAAGUCAUGGCUAAGAAGUGACAAAAUUUGAACAAAAACUGGUUUUUCUGAUUCCUAAGGUCUAUGUUCUUUUCACCGAACAACAGGUAACUGCAAAGAACAAUAACCAUGACAAUAAAAGUCACCAAAUUUUGGCUCUAGAUUAUACAGGAAUCCCAAUAAAAUUUUAGUUACAGUAGUAUAAAGGCAUCUACUUAGAUAUAGAUCACACUUUUUUUCUUAUGCCUAGAUCUCCUGAACCAGAAAGUUAGCAAAAGUGGAUGUUUAAGUUUUAAAUAAUGUAUUCUAAAGACUUGUUUCCACUUAAUAAAACUAGAUUGAGACCAUGCAUAAUUUUCCAUAUUGAGAUAAUUUAAAAUUAUUUUGCCCUACUCUGAAAAGUUUAAGUCUGAUAGGUAAAUUUUAUGAUAUGGUGACAAGACUGUGCAAAGUAUUUAACUCUAAUUCUCUGAGCCUUGGUUCUUUGAUUUGUAAAAUAGUGAUAAUAAACCCAUUUUAAAAAUAGGUGAAAAGUAUUUUUCAUUAUUUCUGGCACAUAGUAAAUAUGCACCAGAAGUCAGGCAUUAAUAUUUGAAUUUUUAAAAAGUACUGCAGGUAAAUUAUCUCAGUGUGUUUAAAUAAUAAAAGUAUCACUAAGAACCCAGCAAAAGACAAGCUAUAUGUUAAAGCACAAAGUACUGAAAGAAUAUAACUCUGAAAGAACAAGUGUAAUAUCAUAUAACACAUAUUAAUUAAAAUGGAAAUGUGUCUCUUUUUUUACUUUCUCUAGUUUAUAGAAUCAUUCCUCAAUAAUGGUUUCUCUUGGUCUCCCAAAGAAAUAAACUUUAUGUGAACAAUUAGAUCAUAAUUUUUCUGUGCCCUUCCUUUCAUCUUUUUUUUCUCCUUUUUUUUCUUUCUAUUUUUCUCAUCUUUUCUUCAGGUAUCACAGGCAUUAACCUAUAGGCAUUCUCCCAAGUCACUUGGUUAAUUUUGUGGGAAUGACUGAGUUUCCAAAAUACCUUUAUUGACUUGGUAUCUGUAGGCCAUGCUAACUGCUACUAGGAAAUUAACUGAAAGUCAAGAUUACCAAAUGUUUAGGAUAAUUAUUUCUAUGAUGGAAAUUCUGGGUCCCAUUUUUCUAAAGCAGAAAUGGUAAAGAAAAAAUAUACUGAAAGCUGUAUAACCAGUGAUUCUUAGAUGAUCACUAAGUAUUUGUGCAAUAGACAAAACAUCUUUGCAAACUCUUUAAUUUCUAAGAUUUAUCUUAAUAUUUUAAAUCAUUUUAAUAUUAUAAUCUAAAAUAUACCCAUGAGAUGUAAGAUUAAUAAGUGUCACUAUUAAGGAAAAAAGACAUGCUAUUCAGUGCUUGUUACUAGGAAAAUACAAUAUAUUUUCUUAUUUUUCUAUGGAGAAGUAAAAAUAACUGAAUAUAUGAAAAGCAUGUGAAUAUUUUUCUACCAAAGAAUCAGUAGAGAUAUUAAUUUGAAUCAUAGGUUAAAAAUAAUCUGAAAAAGUACACCUUAGCAUUGCAUACUUAAAAAAGCAUUUCCUAUAACUCUAUGAAUAUAGCUUAGGAAAUAUUGAAUUUUCAUUAACGAAAUUGAUUUGGCUAGAACUCUUUAUAAAGAAAUAAAACCACUAAAAUUUAAAGCCUCUGCCAUGUGAUGUUUAACAGGAAAAUUUAUAAACACAUACUGUUCUCUGAAAUUUCCUCAUGAAGAAAUUUUAGGGAUUUUAAAGAACAUUAGUCUUUUCCUGUAGUUGCUCAUAGAUUAAGUGCUAAUUCAAUAAAACUGUCUUCAUUUGUGUGUGUACAUAUAUAUGUGCAUUAUAGAUACAUAUAUAUGUGCAUUAUAAAUACAUAUGUACAGAUAUCCAUAUAUAUGUAUGUAUAUAUUGAAAACAUGUUUCUAUUAAUUAGUGCGUAGGUGUUUGCUAUAUAUUUUGAAUGUAUAUACAAUUAUUUUUCUAGGUUUUUUGGCUCAAUGUAUUGAAAAGAGAAUUAGAAUAGAUUUUCUGAUCAUCUUUACACAUGGUAAAAUUGAAUAGAAUAUUUAGGCUUUACCUCUUUAAAAGAAUUGCUGGCAGCAUUGGAAAUGUUGUCAAUUUACAUGUCUAUUCUUGUUUAAAAGCUCAUCCAUAAUUUUUUUUUAAAAUAAAUCUUUUUAAGAUGAUGAAUUUAUGAUAUCUCUGAAGAAUAAUCUUCAUUAUACUUGGAGAUUAUUGUUUUAUUUGCUGUUACUGAUGAAGCUUUGAACUUCAUUCCGUAUAUACUCUUCAAACACUCCCUCUAUCCACAGUUAUCUUUAGUUAAAAGCAUAAAGGUUAAGCAUUUUAUUAGAAGUCUAAUAUUUACAUUGUUGUAAUACUAAAAUCUUAGUCACUGUGUUGCUGGUCUCAGGCCUCCCUGAACUCUGAAUUAAUAUUUAUUUUUCAAGCUUUUCUCUCUUACCCCAGUUUUUUCUCUCUUGUCCUUUUUUUUUAAGUUUGCCAAGAAAGUGAUAAAUAAAUCAAGCAUACGGAAUAUAAAAACACUAAGCAUAUUUGUUUAAUCUGAUAAUUAAGAAUCUGAAAUUGUUCUGGUUUAUUAUAAUCAUUAGACAAAUUUUUAUAUCAUGGUAUUGAACUAAAGAGAGAAAUAAGGAGGAAAUGAAAUGCAUUUGAAAAUUAAAUGAUAUUGUUAAACUUGAUAAGUAUAAAAAUUCAUGAAAAUAGAAUAAUGUUUUAUUAUCCAAAUAGAGUCUAUUUUACAAACAUUAGAUGGUAAACUAAAAAUGGUUAGGGUAACAUCUGUUUUGCUUACCUAUGUCACUCAAGCUUCUGGCAAAGAGCUUGGAAAAUCCUAGUUAAAAUGAGUCAUAUAGAUCAUAUAUAGAUCACAUAUAGUUAAAAUGAGUUAUAUAGAUCAUAUACAUAAUAUCUAAGAUAAGAAAUCAGUGUGAACCAUGUCUUGCAUAUGUUUAGCUUAAAAAUGAACUAGAGUGCAGCAAGCCACCAUGGCACAGGUAUACCUAUGUAACAAACCUGCACAUUCUGCAUAUGUAUCCCGGAACUUCAAAGUCAAAAACACACAAAAAAAGAGAGCUAAAGUGCAAUGACUUCAAAAGACAGAUAAAUAUGGAAGUUAAUAUAAAGAUUUAAUCAUUCAUUCAAUCAGUCAGCAUUUAUAGAAUUUAUUGAAUAUCAUUUACUUGGCUAGGAACUGAAGAUAUAUGUUGAGACUUGAACCACACACUUUGUUUCUAAGGAAGACAUUUUAUCCCCUGGAAAACAAAAAAAGAAAAUGGGCAAUACCAUUCAGGACAUUGCAUGGGCAAAGACUUCAUGUCUAAAGCACCAAAAGCAAUGGCAACAAAAGCCAAAAUUGACAAAUUGGAUCUAAUUAAACUAAAGAGCUUCUGAACAGCAAAAGAAACUAUCAUCACAGUGAACAGGCAACCUACAGAAUGGGAGAAAAUUUUUGCAAUCUAUCCAUCUGACAAAGGGCUAAUAUCUGGAAUCUAAAAAGAUAUUUAAAAAAUUUACUAGAAAAAAACAAACAACCCCAUCAAAAAAUGGGCAAAGGAUAUGAACAGACACUUCUCAAAAGAAGACAUUUAUGCAGCCAACAGACAUAUGAAAAAAUGCUCAUCAUCACUGGCCAUGAGAAAAAAUGCAUUAAUUUUUAAGUAGUAAAAAUAUUCAGUGCUCAUAGUGGAAAAGGCAAAUUUUACCAUUUAGUAGGAAAAUUACUUCUAAAAAUAUGGAAUUAUAUAAAAUAUUUUGAUUACUUCAUUUGUUAAAAUGAUUUAUACAUAAUUUCAAUUUAUUAUUUAAUAAUAAUUUAUUAAUUGGGGAGAUAAUACAUUAGAGACAAUGAAGACAGAAUUAGAAAAUGUUAUGUGGCAGAGGGCUGACAAACAAAACGCAUGUAAAGAAUAGUCCUUGUUCUUCAUAAAGUACUAACUGUUUCUCUGCAUGCCUUGUGGGAUCAAAAGGAGAGAAGGGUAUUGGAUAAGAUCUUUGACCCUCCUUGUGUUUGGACAGGCCUCUGCUUUAAACUUAGUUUUUUCUCUUUUUCAGAAGAGUUAUCUGAAUUUUUAAUAUCAAAUCUUACCAAAUAGAAAGCAAAGAAGAAAGAGUAGUUAUGGAUUUAUAUCAUACUCAAUUAUACAUGGAGUAUUGUCAUGAAGAUUUUUAACCCAAGCAAGAAGAGAGUCAUAGCUGUAAACGUAAAGCACCGCUUUCCUACUAAAAAGAAAAAAUCCAUUCCUUAUUAUGAGAUUAUAUGCUACAAACUGAACUUCACAUUAUAGAAUUUCCAAUGUUCAGGUCUUAAAUUAGUAUUAAUGUCUAAUACAUGAGUUUUGCUUUUUUCCAUAAUACAUUGUAAGGUCUAGACCAGUCAUUGUCAAGUAGGGGUGAUUUUGCCUUCAGGAAACUUUUGGCAAUGUCUGGAAACAUUUGUCAUUGUCACGCUGAAAAUGGUAAUGCUACUGACAUCUAGUGGGUAGGGGCAGGGAUGCUGUUACACAUUGCACGAUGUACAGCACAGCCUCCCACGAGAAUUACUUAUGCCAACUGUGGCAACAUAGAGAAAACCUGUACAUGAUGGUACAUAAUAAUUCAUUUUAUCCUCACAACAACCCUUAGGAUACACACUAAUAUAUCAACAUAUUUUGUCUAAAAGUACUGAGCCACGGGGAUGUUAAGCAGAAUUUUCAAAUUUAUAGAGGUGGAAUAGAAACCCAGAUAACUUGGAUCCAAAUAUCUCUCGCUUAACUCCCAUUCUAGAGUCUCUUUGUACUUUCUAGGAUUUUCCCCUCAAGUUUAUCACUGAAUACCAUACUUUACAGCAUUUUUAUAAAUAGAAUUAAUAUGAGAAUUUUCUUUGACUCAUUUCACCCUUUGAAAUUGAUUACUAAAUCUUCCAUACAAUGGAGUAAAUAAAUCAUCCAACCAAACAGCAUUCUCUGUUUCUAUUCUGCUUCAGGUUCAUGCUAGGAAUUGUAGACUAAAAAGAAAACGAGGUUUGAAUAGUGUAAGAAACACAAGCCAAUGCUCAAUUUUGUUGGCUCGACAGUGUCUACUAAGGCAGUUCAUAGAAGAGGAAGAUUGCUGAAUGCUUGAGCCACAGGGGAAAGCUUCAGAGAGGAAGCCAGGCUGGAGCCGAACUUUCACAGUGUUCUUGAUUUACUUGAGUUAUCUUGUUUGUUUUUACAUCUACUUCACUCUCAUAACUUUUCUCCUUUUCAGUGUUUCAUUUAAUUAAAUCCAAUACAUAUUUACUGAGAAGGCACUGUGUGUUCAUCUCUUCUUUAGACACUGCAAAGUGCAUGAAGCAUUUUUACAGAAUUUUUGCCCAUAAGAAAAUAAAAAUCUAAAGAGACAAGUCAUGGUUAGACUAGGAGUUACAUAACAGUAAAAGAAAAUGUAUGAGAGAUAUUGAAAUAGCACAUAAUUAAGCGUUAAAAUAAUUGCAUGAGCCAUCACAUCCGCCAGUUUUUUGUUUUUUUUUUUAAGAUGGAGUCUCGCUCUGUCGCCCAGGCUGGAGUGCAGUGGCACGAUCUCCGCUCAGUGCAAGCUCCGCCUCCUAGGUUCACGCCAUUCUCCUGCCUCAGCCUCCUGAGUAGCUGGGACUACAGGCGCCCACCACUGCGCCUGGCUAAUUUUUUGUAUUUUUGAUAGAGACAGGUUUUCGCCAUGAUAACCAAGCUGGCCUUGAACUCCUGAACCUCAAUUGAUCUGCCUAUUUUAUUAAAUUUUUGUCAUCUUUCAGUAUCUCCCAAGACUUUUAUUUUAUCCUACAUCCUACUAUCUCCUCCCAGUGUAUCAUGUUGUCACCAAAUGUGCAGUAUCUUUUGCUGCAAUCCUCAGCCAAUUGCAAAACUGCUGAAGUGUCAAUAUGAAGGCUCUCAGGUGGGAAGAAUUCUCUCUUACUCUAGGAAAGGCCAUGCUUAUGUUCUUUUAAGGCUGUCAAAUGAUUAGAUGAGGCUCACCUGCAUUAUGAAAGGUGAGCUUCUUCAACAGUCUAGCAGCUUAAAUGUUAAUCUUAUCCCAAAACGCUUUUACAGAAACACUAAGAAUAAUGUUUGACCAUUGACUAAAUAUCUGGGUACCCCAUGGCUCAGUCAAGUUACACAUAAAAGUAACCAACACAUUUUAUCACAAGAAAAUUUAUGUAAGCCUCUUGGGAAAUCAGCUUUUAGUAGUACAGUUCCUUUCCAAAAAUUAUCUUUAAAAAAAUCUUCAGGAAAUAUCUUAGAAAAACAAUGGCAUAACAAAAUUAACAGAUAAACAAAAUGCACAGUGUUCAUCUGCUUUUGGGAUUGCUGGUCAAGCAUAUCAUCUAAUUUGUAUGACAAUGAGAGCUGUGAAAUGUCUAUAUCCUAACAAACUCACUUAUAAUUAGGCAAUCUAUUAAAAUGUGAGAGUUUUACCUAAAAACUUGAAAAAUUAAUACAAUCUUAACACAAAAAUUCAUGAGAAGCUCUUAACCCUACUUAAGAGAGAAUAUUUUAAUCCAAUUUUAAAAUAUUGUUUGUUUUAAAAUAUAAUAAUCAUAUAUUCAGAAAAAUAAUUUAUUUUUUCAUAUGGUCUUGUUUUUCAUCAAUGAAUUUGAUUCAAAUACAAUGAAUACAAAGAAAAAUAUCUUGAUCUAUUACCUACAUAUGAGUAGUAUGAAAACGUGAGUCAUUCAGUAUCCUUUCUCAUAAUCAUAAUUUUCUGUAUAACCCUAAAUAUUCAGAGUUUCCCUGUAUGGCCCCUGUUCUGAAAAUCUUUAUCAAGACAUUCUCAAUGCAAUCAUUACCUCCCCUGUUCUAAAUGCCAUCUUUUAUCUCCUAUUCAGAGAUUUCAAUUGCUCUCAUAAGAGUCCAGAGAUUGUUUUCUGUUCACACAGCCUCUCCGCGUUUAUUAAGGUUUAACGUUCAGAGGUUUAACCAUAAGUGAAAGAGUUAAAUGAAAUGGAAUUGUCUUUUUGCUUAAAGUGAUAUUUCUUACAUACUCUAAUCUGUUCUGUUUCUUCGUGUGUUUGUAUGUGAACCUCAGUAAAACUGGAAUUGGGAGGUUAAAUACAGAUACUACCAAUUUCAGGGUAUUAUUGUUCAUUGAUGUUUAUCCUAGGCAUUUAUUUCUAAAGCUAAGUUUUUGUUUUGUUUUGUUUUACUUUUGAUCCCCACUUCUCCCUUUCUGUCUUCCCUAACAAUUUUUACUUUCAUUUGGCAUUACAGUGCGAGAAAGAAUUGUUCCUAUCCGGUUUUGAGAAUUACUUCAUUUAGUUUACUUUUCUUCACUUUUUUUACUAACAGAAGUUAAUUUUGAAUACAAAACAUAGAUUGAACAUGUCAAAGACUUACUCUGCAGAUAUCACCAACAGAAACUGUUGAUAAGAGAUAAAACAAAGAUGAAUGUUUUGCUUAUUGCAGUGAGAGAGAACAGAGAACCUUGCAAAAUUUAGACAGUGUCUUGGACUAGGGAAUAUAAAGUCAGAAUUUAUGGAGAAUUGGAUGUUUGAUUUAAGGAGGGUCUUUCGAAGUAAGAACUGGACUAGGAUGGGUUAAAGACCAUGCCACAACCGUUCAGGAUUGGUAGAAACAGCAAGGUGGGAGUUUAAGGCAAGAGCAGCAAAGAAUCGUAAGGAAAAACUGCCUGCUGAUGUUUCAUUGAAGAGUAGGUGGGUGUUUCAGGAAGACUCUAUAAUGAACAAUCAAAACCUUUGCCUUGGCAAGGUAUUUCUGAAAUAAUAAAUUAUGCUUAUGAAGACAGAGGAAUAUUAAAGGAACACUAACGAGGACAGAGGAAUAGCGCAAAGUCAUCUUAAUAUAGGCAGUAAGGAAUUAUUUUAGUUCUUAGUGUCUAUACUGAGGGUGGGAUUAGAAGGUUUUGGUUACCAAAUAAUAUCUAGAUAAAUGCUUUCAUACCACUAUCCCAUGAAUUUUUUUCAUAUCCAAAGCGAAUAUAGUUUAUUUUAAUGUUGAUAUAACUUUCUAUAAUACUAUGACAAAACACAUGUCUAAUAAGAAAGCUACUUUUAAAUUAACAUUUUCUAAAAUUAAAUAUUUGUACCAUGAUUUAUUUUGACAUGAUUGCCAUUUUGCUGUGCAUUUUGAUUUAUUCCUAGUUUACCUCCAAGCCCUGUACAGCCAGUAUUUCUGCAUCCUUCUACCAUGUACUUUUACCUGUCUUCCAAAAAACCUCUUGAUCUCAUCUUUUCCUAUUCCAAAUACUAAUAUAUCAUCACUUAUCCAAGUAUAACUUGUCUUUUAUUUAUUCAGUUAUUUCAUUCAGAAGUUCAGAAAAUACUGUGAUCUUUCAUAGAGUUUCGGCAUGGAGCAGGAGGACAGUCAGAUCUGCAGCCUCACAGUAUUUAGUUUAGUAGAUUAACAAAGACUGUACAUGAGAAAGUAUUGUAAGAAGGUACUCGUCAUCUAGAACAAGAAGGUUUGGGUUAUUAACGAAAAAAAAAGUAGAGAUGGGGAAAUAUGUAAUUCUUCCGCUACAUAUCAUACUGUCAAGCUGAAUUUUGAAAGAUGAAAUUAUAUUCCCCUGUGGAACAAGGUAUAGUUUAAAAUAAGGGGUAUUAAUUGAAGCAUGAGUUACUGUGGAAAUAAUGUUAGCAGAAUUUUGUAUAUAGCUAUGAUCAAACAGAAAACAUUUUCAAAGAACAAGAAAAAAUAUUCUCAAAAAUAAUUUUAAAAAGUAAACUCAGAUAUACUGUACCAAGUUUUUUAUUUAAUAGGCUUACUCUACCUCUUCAUGUUUAUCACUUAGUGCCAUCGUCUGGAAGGGCAUAUGAACAUUUAAUACUAUAUGCAUGAAAUCUGUUGACUGUUUGAUGAACUAUAUUCCAGAUGCUUACUCAAAUAAAAUAUUUCUAAAUUUGGCAUGAUUGAACUGAAAAAAACAAGGAGGCAUCUUUGCUGAGUUAAAGUGUUUUUGUUUGAACUUACAAGGAAGCUGCCACCAGCUGGUAUCGCUUACCAUAGUGGUGGAAAUAUUUCAUAUUUUAGAAUUAAAUUAUACUCUGUCCAGUCAAACAGAGACAUUAAAAGGAUAUCACAUCAAAAUAGGCAUAACGUAUAAUUAAAGAAAAAAGCUGGUGCUUCUUCAGAAUGUUAAAUGGGAGUAAGUUAACAAAAGAAAUAAAAUGUUGUGUUUUUCCUUCAUGUUCACUCCAUUAUUCCAUGAAUUACAUUAAACUUUGUCCCACACAUGACCUUGAAUAUUUAACCACCUGCUCAAUUUGAUCUGGGAACACUCAGGCUUUGAAAAGCUGCCUGCAUAAGACCUGACAAGAGUGUGCCUCCCAAAUAUGUAAAGUUUACUGCACAGGCUGAGGGAAUGUGGGAAUUGCUCAGCUGCCUGCAAGUGUUUCUGGUCCUGAAAAUUUGGGAAAAAUUGCUUGUAAUGCAGUUAAAGGUUUUUAAAGCCUGGGCCUGUCUAUAUUUGAAUAGUGUCAUUUAAAAUGAGAUUUAGAAUAUUAUUCUCUUAGUGGGAACAUCUUUUUAAGGGAGACUGUAUAAGAACUGCAUAGAGAGAGUUUUGCCUCAACUUGUGGGUCAUUGACUUCCUUACAUUUACUCUCUGGAGUACUUACACAGUGCAGACAUCCAUUAGAGAAAUGGUGGAAAUAAUAUAUAUUUCCACAUGCAACACACACAGAUAUCCAUAUAUAUAUAAUAGUAGUUAUUAGAAAUACUGUUUAAGUCAUAUAUUGCUGUUGACUUUGAGUAUUUCCUUAAAUACUUUUACACUUAAAGCAGAUAGAAGAUUAUGACAAUUUAUCUCCUGAUUUAAAAGUGCAGGAAACUUAUAUUUUAGUUUGUGUUUUUUGAGGUUUCUUAAAAGGUUAACAAUUAAAGCACUAUAGUUCAUCUUAUAAAAAUAUCUCUUUCUGAUAGAUCCAAAGCAGCUUUAUAGAAUCUAUACAUACCGAUUGUGUUGUCAUCUUUUGUAUUAUAAAAGCAGCACUAGAAGACAAACACAUUUAGAAAAGGAGAGCAGUUGACUUAAAGUAAGUUGUCAGUCUAACUUUAGGAGGACUAUCUUGCCAAAUAAAAACAAAGAAAAAUAACAUCAAGAUUAUAUAUCUUAAGAAGUUUAUAUUAUUCUGUUAUCGGUGAAAAAAACCAGCUAAUUUAUUUUAUGAUUAUCACAUUGGGAAGCGAGGGAUAAAGCUGAUUUUGAUUGCAAAUUAGGGAUUAAAAUGUACCUUCACGGCUUCAUUUAUUUGGAGGACCAGGUCUGACUUUGUUUACUUUGGUUUAUCUCAGAGUUGGUUACGAGGUGGUGUUUUGUUUUCUUGUUUCCUGACUUGGAAGAUGAUAUAUACACUUACAGUGGUAUAAGGGUGAAAUAUCAAUUUUGCUUCCACAGUAUCCAGACCAAAUACAUGCCUUUUUGAUAUUUAUAAUUUUAUGAGUUAAAAAGAAAAUCACUUUCUUUCUCAAAUGACUGGAUGACCAUGUCAAAUCCAACCUAGCUUUUCAAAUGAUUUUUUAGUCUUUGAAUCUACUGUAUCCAUGUGGUUCUGGUUAUUAAUUAACUUGAAUUUUUCUUCCUCAAAUAGUCAGACACAAUGCUAUGCUGCUGUUCCUAGAAUGAUGCUAAGCUUUACAGAGAGAUUUUAAUUUAAUACUAGUGAGUCCUUAAGUAGAAGUUUUCAAGUCAGCUUACAAUGAAUAUUUUUACAGGUAUGAAUUCCUGAAGGCUUAUUUAUCCUUAAAUGCUUUGAACAUAUUCACUUGAUCUGUAGAGUGAGAGCUAAUCUAUUUUUAGAGAUCUUCUAGUAAAAUGAUUUGUUGCAGCUUGGAUUAUUUUUUCUUAUUUUUUUAUGCCUUGAAAAAUUGAAGAGAAAAGGAAUAUGUCAUUGACUAGAAUUCCAAAGCUCAAGGUACACUUAUGGAAGUUGAAGUCAGUGACUCUUAUAACUUAAGAGAAACACGCAGCAGGAAUCCAUUCUAUUAGAGCACUUCAGUAAAGAAUCACAGCGAGGCCAUUUCCCCCUCUCAAUUGCAAUGUAAGAAAUUCUGUGAAAAUAAAGAUCAGUUGUAUAAUUUUCAUGUUUACCUUUGCUUUGUUCUUGCCCCUUAAAAUUUAUAUUUCACUCCUUUACACAUAAAUGUGCCUGGUUCAGGGAAAUAAUUCUGUCUUCUAUUUUUCAUUUGAAUUAAUUUUAUAUGAUUGCUUUGUAUUAAUUAUAUUUUUUCUGUUCCUUUCUUUAGUUGAUGGUUUCUUUUUUUUUGUUUUUUUUUUGCAGUGAGUUAUUUUAUCAAAGUGAAUCAUUAUUAAGGAUCGUGUUUGUUUUCCUUUACUUAGAUUUCCCUUUCUUAACAACCACUCAUGUGGUUACAUAAUAUUGCUACAUCAAUUGAUUUGCAUGUCAAUAAUAAAAGUAUAUUCAUUAGAUAUCUUGCUUUUUCCUCCUUUCCACUCAAUAUUUUUUUGAAAUUCUUAUUACCGAAAUCAAUGCACCUAAAAUUAGUGAAGAAUUAGGUAAUCAUUUGUCCUUGCUUUAUAAUGAAAAUUUGGCCAUUUAUAUGAUACAACAAAAAUAUCAACUUUGUUUCAAAUAAAAGUGAAAAUAUUUAUCUUUCAAUUUGAAUAAAUGUUAGGUCAUUAUUGGCACUGAGGGAUAUAAUCAUACAUAACUAUAUAUGUACAAUUAUUCUAAUUUGAAUCAAAGUACAAAUAUUACUCUUGUCAACGCCAUUUUUUUUUCUGGAGCUUAUUAGGAAUAGAACUGACUACAAGAGUUUGUUUAAAAGAGUAUGACAACUUUUAAAAUAUACCUUUAUUUAUAUUCAGCUACAUGGCACAAUGAAAUAUAGUUUUUACCUUUAAAAUGGAUGGCAUAAUAAAAUAUUGAAUUACAUUAUCGUGUCUAAAUCAACCAAUAUUUAGAAAAUUCUUGAUUUAUAUAUGAAUUUUGGAGAAUCAUUAUUCAUAUGUCGAAAUAAAUCAUAUCAAAAUGUGACCUAGGUGGAAAUUGAACAAUGAGAACACAUGGACACAGG
rnacentral:lncRNA from 1 species